rnacentral:rRNA from 1 species
AAUGAACGCUGGCGGCAGGCCUAAAACAUGCAAGUCGAACGGUAACAGGUCUUCGGAUGCUGACGAGUGGCGCACGGGUGAGUAACACGUGGGAAUAUGCCUUUUGGUACGGAACAACAGUUGGAAACGACUGCUAAUACCGUAUGGUCCCUUCGGGGUAAAGAUUUAUCGCCAAAAGAUUAGCCCGCGUUGGAUUAGCUAGUUGGUAGGGUAAUGGCCUACCAAGGCUACGAUCUAUAGCUGGUCUGAGAGGAUGAUCAGCCACACUGGAACUGAGACACGGUCCAGACUCCUACGGGAGGCAGCAGUUAGGAAUAUUGGACAAUGGGCGCAAGCCUGAUCCAGCCAUGCCGCGUGAGUGAUGAAGGCCUUCGGGUUGUAAAGCUCUUUAGCCGACGAAUAUAAUGACUGUAGUCGGAAAAUAAGCCCCGGCUAACUUCGUGCCAGCCGCCGCGGUAA